UUAUGAAUAUGGCGGAAAUAUUUCUCUCUUUCAAAUAUGCGCAUGAAGAGUAAGCUCAUAGCUUCGCUCUGAAUUCAGAUUUCAUCUUCAUUUCUGGGAUUCUGCUUCGAUCAAUCAACGAGUUACCUCGGCUGCAGAAAAAGCUCUCAUCUUCAGUUCUGAUUAAUCAAGUGUUUUCUGAAAACAAGCGCGAAUCCAAAGCUCCGAAGUUCAAUUCCGGCGCCGUAUCACAAAUCAACUCGAUGAAUGCGGCCGGCAAUCGCGGCUCUAGGUCACCGUUCGAUCCCUACGCAUCAGACAGCUCCGAUUCCCCGUCUCCGCUGAUGAAGUUCCUGCGCUCUGUCGAUCCGCCACCGUCGUUCCUCACGCCGGUCAAGGAUGAGGAAGAUGUGAUUGUUAUGGAUGGGAUUUCCGUGCCUAAUUCCAACAAAGGAAGCGGUGAAGUGAGACUGAGGUUGCCUUUGAUGCCAUCAAACUCUCUCAACUGCAGAUUUGUGAGCCAUUACCGGGAAACUUCUCAUAUGUGCCAAUUUGGUUCCCAAUUUUGCACACGGCAAAGAGGAGCUGCGCCAUCAUCGGUUCUCAGGCAAGACCAAACUCAAGGUACAGAGCUAAAUCCAAAUGAAUCUUUGCUGAGUAAUUAAGUAAUCUUGAGUGAUUGUAGAGCCAUUGCAUAUGGUUUCUUGUAUGUUUUGGUCUGUUCUUGCAUUUCCCUCUAGGAUAGAUCUCCAAACCAAACAGCAGUUUUGUGGGAUCAAGCGAUUCAAGCCCAUCUCCAUGUGGCUCUGAGUUCAACCGAAACAGCCAAGUCAAGGCUGCCGCAGCAGAAGAGGCAUUCUCAAUGCCACCACUAUCACCAGUCCCAGCUGAAGAAGUUUCUGGAACUAGCACGGUCCCGGACACUACUAUAUAUGCUCGUCUCGGAUUGGACUCCUCGGACUGAUGGGAUCGAGGUCUGUUUGCCUUGUGUGGACAAGAGUUCAUCAGAGGAAGAUGUGGGUGCUUAUAUGGAGAAUGUGCUGUAUGGGGCCAAGGUGAAGAGGAGGCUGCCUGUGUUUGUUGGGAUUUGCUCUGACUCUUAGUUGAUUCAUGCCAUUUUGUGGUGAUAGGAUUUACUGAUUUGAUUUUGGUGAUCUGAUCGUAUUGGCCGACAUUGGGAAAUUUUGAGAAAUAAUCAGAUUCAUGAGUCAUGACCGAAGAGGGUGACAAUAAUUUCGGCCAAAAUUGACUAUUUUUGAUGAUCUAGAAAUGUCUGCAAUAGAGUAAACGCGGUCGAUUUAGUGUCGGAUGAAGAUUAUUUGUAUUAGGUGUUGAUGCAAUGUUGUUGUACAAAGUGAAUAAUAGUAUUUGAUUUCCAUUAUUAUUUUGCA